ensembl:lncRNA
CAGAGUCCCUAGGCAGUGAGCCAAACAGAAAGAAUUUAGAAAUGGGAAAUGGGAGAUUUUAGAAAUACAGUGGAAGUGUGGAAGUAUUCUGAGAAGUAUAUCCUGAGAAAGUUUGAGAAGUCUAGUGGAGAACAGGCCAUAGAGGAAGACGUCUGCACGCAAGAGGAUCUGAUGAGAAGGCAAAGCCUUGCUGUGACAGUGAGAGUGGAUUGGGCGUACACAAUAAGAGGGAUGGGAGAGGACGAUGACUAAGAAGAGGAUUGCAGAAGAGGCUCAUGGAGCCCCAGAUGCACAGCCCAACUGGAGUUGCCCUACUGCUCUUGGGAGUGAAGCCUGACAUAGAUCGGGGUCCACCAACUAGGGGACACAUCUUUAAAGAGAACUUUCCCCUUCUCAGCCCUAUCAAAUGCCAGUAGCUCCUCGCCCACAG